UACGUAGGGCGCAAGCGUUAUCCGGAGUUAUUGGGGCGUAAAGAGCUUGUAGGCGGUUUGGUCGCGUCUGCUGUGAAAACCCGGGGCUCAACCCCGGGCCUGCAUUCGAUACGGGCAGACUAGAGUUCGGUAGGGGAGUCUGGAAUUCCUGGUGUAGCGGUGAAAUGCGCAGAUAUCAGGAGGAACACCGGUGGCGAAGGCGGGACUCUGGGCCGAUACUGACGCUGAGGAGCGAAAGCGUGGGGAGCGAACAGG
rnacentral:rRNA from 1 species